rnacentral:rRNA from 1 species
CGGUCCGGGAGCGGCCCACGUCCUAUCAGCUUGUUGGUGGGGUAACAGCCUACCAAGGCUCUGACGGGUAGCCGGCGUGAGAGCGUGAUCGGCCACAUCGGGACUGAGACACUGCCCGGACACCUACGGGUGGCUGCAGCAACGAAUAAUCCGCAAUGGGCGAAAGCCUGACGGUGCGACGCCGCGUGAAGGAUGAAGUUCUUCGGGAUGUAAACUUCAAUAGUAUGUCAGGAAGAUCUGACCAGCAUACGAAAGGGGUGGCUAACUCCGUGCCAGCAGCCGCGGUAACACGGAGACCCCUAGCGUUGUUCGGAAUUACUGGGCUUAAAGAGCGUGUAGGCGGAACGGUAAGUACCUUGUGAAAGCCCCCGGCUCAACCGGGGAAUGGCUCGGUAUACUAUCGUUCUUGAGGCAGGUAGGGGCUGCUGGAACCUUAGGUGGAGCGGUGAAAUGCGUAGAUAUCUAAGGGAACGCCUGUGGCGAAAGCGGGCAGCUGGACCUGUACUGACGCUGAGACGCGAAAGCGUAGGGAGCGAACGGGAUUAGAUACCCCGGUAGUCUACGCCGUAAACGAUGCGCACUAGGUCGGUGAACUUCUGACAGUGCGCCGGUCGAAGUUAAAGUGUUAAGUGGACCGCCUGGGGAGUACGGUCGCAAGGCUAAAACUCAAAGGAAUUGACGGGGGCUCACACAAGCGGUGGAGCAUGUUGCUCAAUUCGAUGCAACGCGAAGAACCUUAUCCUGGGCUUGACAUGCUUGGAUGCCCAUCUGGAAACAGAGUAGGCUGCCCUUCGGGGUGAAACUUACACAGGUGCUGCAUGGCUGUCGUCAGCUCGUGUCGUGAGAUGUUGGGUUAAGUCCCGUAACGAGCGAAACCCUUAUCGUUAGUUGCCAGCGCGUUAUGGCGGGGACUCUAACGAGACUGCCGGUGUUAAACCGGAGGAAGGUGGGGAUGACGUCAAGUCCUCAUGGCCUUUAUGCCCAGGGCUGCAAACGUGCUACAAUGGCCGAUACAAACCGACGCAAAACCGCGAGGUCGAGCAAAUCGGAAAAAGCCAGCCUCAGUUCGGAUUGGAGUCUGCAACUCGACUCCAUGAAGUUGGAAUCGCUAGUAAUCGCGUAUCAGCAUGACGCGGUGAAUGUGUUCCUGAGCCUUGUACACACCGCCCGUCAAGUCAUGGAAGCCGGGAGCACCCGAAGUCGCCACAAUUCAGUGCUGCCUA